UGCCAGACUCCUACGGGAGGCAGCAGUGGGGGAUAUUGCACAAUGGGGGGAACCCUGAUGCAGCGACGCCGCGUGGGUGAAGGAGCGUUUCGGCGCGUAAAGCCCUAUCGGCAGGGAAGAAGGAGGACGGUACCUGACUAAGAAGCCCCGGCUAACUACGUGCCAGCAGCCGCGGUAAUACGUAGGGGGCGAGCGUUAUCCGGAUUUACUGGGUGUAAAGGGAGCGUAGACGGCCAUGCAGGCCUGAUGUGAAAGGUGUGGGCACGACCCGCACACUGCAUUGGGAACUGUAUGGCUAGAGUGUUGGAGGGGCAGGCGGAAUUCCUGGUGUAGCGGUGAAAUGCGCAGAUAUCAGGAGGAACACCGGUGGCGAAGGCGGCCUGCUGGACGACGACUGACGUUGAGGCUCGAGAGCGUGGGGAGCGAACAGGAUUAGAUACCCCCGUA
rnacentral:rRNA from 1 species